rnacentral:rRNA from 1 species
GAUGAACGCUAGCGGCAGGCCUAACACAUGCAAGUCGAGGGGCAGCACAUAAAGUGGUUUACUACUUUUGGUGGCGACCGGCGGACGGGUGCGUAACGCGUAUGCAACCUGCCUCCAACAGGGGGAUAACGGAGAGAAAUUUCCACUAAUACCCCAUAAUAUCAGAAUCGGCAUCGGUUUUGGUUGAAAACUCCGGUGGUUGGAGAUGGGCAUGCGUUGUAUUAGAUAGUUGGUGAGGUAACGGCUCACCAAGUCAACGAUACAUAGGGGGACUGAGGGGUUAGCCCCCCACACUGGUACUGAGACACGGACCAGAAUCCUACGGGAGGCAGCAGUGAGGAAUAUUGGUCAAUGGGGGCAACCCUGAACCAGCCAUGCCGCGUGCAGGAAGACGGCUCUAUGAGUUGUAAACUGCUUUUACAAGGGGAUAAAUCGGUGUACGUGUACACCGUUGAAGGUACCUUGGGAACAAGGAUCGGCUAACUCCGUGCCAGCCGCCGCGGUAA